GACGAACGCUGGCGGCGUGCUUAACACAUGCAAGUCGAACGGUAAGGCCCUUCGGGGUACACGAGUGGCGAACGGGUGAGUAACACGUGGGUGAUCUGCCCUGCACUUCGGGAUAAGCCUGGGAAACUGGGUCUAAUACCGGAUAGGACUCCUGGCUUCAAGGUUGGGGGUGGAAAGCUUUUGCGGUGUGGGAUGGGCUCGCGGCCUAUCAGCUGGUUGGUGGGGUAAUGGCCUACCAAGGCGACGACGGGUCGCCGGCCUGAGAGGGUGACCGGUCACGCUGGGACUGAGAUACGGCCCAGACUCCAACGGGAGGCAGCAGUGGGGAAUAUUGCACAAUGGGCGCAAGCCUGGUGCGACGACGCCGCGUGAGUGAUGACGUCCUUCGGGUUGUAAACCUCUUUCAGCUAUGACGAAGCGCAAGUGACGGUAGUAGCAGAAGAAGGACCGGCCAACUACGUGCCAGCAGCCGCCGUAA
rnacentral:rRNA from 1 species